CUAGUGGCGGACGGGUGAGUAACGCGUGGGUAACCUGCCUUAUACAGGGGGAUAACAACCAGAAAUGGUUGCUAAUACCGCAUAAGCGCACAGGACCGCAUGGUCCGGUGUGGAAAACUCCGGUGGUAUAAGAUGGACCCGCGUUGGAUUAGCUAGUUGGCAGGGUAACGGCCUACCAAGGCGACGAUCCAUAGCCGGCCUGAGAGGGUGAACGGCCACAUUGGGACUGAGACACGGCCCAGACUCCUACGGGAGGCAGCAUG
rnacentral:rRNA from 1 species